AGUGAACGCUGGCGGUAGGCCUAACACAUGCAAGUCGAACGGCAGCACAGGAGAGCUUGCUCUCUGGGUGGCGAGUGGCGGACGGGUGAGGAAUACAUCGGAAUCUACUUUUUCGUGGGGGAUAACGUAGGGAAACUUACGCUAAUACCGCAUACGACCUACGGGUGAAAGCAGGGGAUCUUCGGACCUUGCGCGAUUGAAUGAGCCGAUGUCGGAUUAGCUAGUUGGCGGGGUAAAGGCCCACCAAGGCGACGACCCGUAGCUGGUCUGCGAGGAUGAUCAGCCACACUGGAACUGAGACACGGUCCAGACUCCUACGGGAGGCAGCAGUGGGGAAUAUUGGACAAUGGGCGCAAGCCUGAUCCAGCCAUACCGCGUGGGUGAAGAAGGCCUUCGGGUUGUAAAGCCCUUUUGUUGGGAAAGAAAUCCAGCUGGUUAAUACCCGGUUGGGGUGACGGUACCCAAAGAAUAAGCACCGGCUAACUUCGUGCCAGCAGCCGCCGCGG
rnacentral:rRNA from 1 species